GCCUGGCGUGGUGGCGCGUGCCUGUAGUUCCAGCUACUCGGGAGGCUGAGGUGGGAGGAUCGCUUGAGCCCAGGAGUUCUGGGCUGUAGUGCGCUAUGCUGAUCAGGUAUUUGCACUAAGUUUGGCAUCAAUAUGGUGACCUCCUGGGAGCCAGGGACCACCAGGUUGCCUAAGGAGGGGUGAACUGGCCCAGGUCGGAAACGGAGUAGGUCAAAACUCCCGUGCUGAUCAGUAGUGGGAUAGCAUCUGUGAAUAGCCACUGCACUCCAGCCUGGGCAACAUAGCAAGACCCUGUCUCU
rnacentral:SRP_RNA from 1 species